AAUCUUUCAUUUUGACAGACAAGUCUUAGGUUUUCUCGGGUUCUUACAACUUUUGACUGCCUCAAAGUGACACAACUGAAGCAAAACAAGAACACACAAAAAAUGACUACAUCAAAAAGAGUUGCAGAGAGGAAAGUGGCUAAGUUUGAGAAGAAUAUAACAAGGAGAGGAUUGAAUCCUCUAACAGGGAAGAACAAAAUGGAACCUGCACACAUUGUUCUUGCACUCUUUGCUGUUUUGGUCAUUGGAUCUUUUGUUUUCCAGGUUGUGAAGAUGGCAAUUAAUGGUGGGGUGCAAUGAAGGUGGAAGCUUUUAAUUUCUCCAGAAAAAUGAAACUUUAAGUGCAGAAGCUUAUCGUUUUAGAAUUAAUGGUUAAAGCUACAUUUUCAAACAAACUAUAAAUAAGUUUGUGAUAACAUUCUCUCUUGCUUGGUUGUACUACCUUGUUAUGUUAAUUUCUUUUCCUUCUCUCUAAUCUUUCUUAAGGGCCUAUUUGGAAAGCCACCGGGUAAUUGGAAUUGGGCGUAAUUGGAUGUAAUUAUACAGUUUGGCUUAUUUGUUUGACCAAAUAACUAUACACUUAGGUGGGAAUUGAGUGCAAUUGAGAGGGUGUAAUUACACUCUCCAAUUCUUAAGGGGGGCUGAGAAUUGGGUGUAAUUACACCCUGUAAUUACAGGGUUACUUCUUAGUUUCUUUCUUUUU